GUAGAUGCUCAUCCCACUUAUUAUGACAGCCUGGUUUUUAUAGCCAAUUGUGCUUCAUAAACCCAGGGAUGAUGCAGAGCCGAUUUUAGGGUGCCUAUUGUCCAUGUAAACGAUGUUGAAUAUCUUCAUCACAUACCGGGCAAAACGUUGAGUGAGGCGCCGACAUUGUUGUCUGUAGACCUGAAAAUUUUAGACGCUUGCCCCUAUCGGCAAGCGUUUUUUU
rfam:Yersinia frederiksenii ATCC 33641 contig00001, whole genome shotgun sequence.